GAGUGGUUGUCCAAGUAACUGUCAUCAUGAAAUUAUAAAAUUCCUGUAACAGUGGAGGAAGCAGGAAUCCCUCAGCUGCAAGACAGAGAACAGGACUACACUUCUGCCACAGUUCUCUUGCCAUGUUCAAUUUAAACCAUCCUGAAAAUGCACCAGUAGUCAGGCUCUGGUAUCUCUUGGUGCCCUGGCCCUUACCAGCUUCUCCAGCCACCUAGUAAUAUGGUGUAGCCUUCGUUGUUGGAUUGCCGAUGUUAGCAGACUAUCCAAAUGUGGCCUUGCUCAGUGAAGGUUGGAGGAUCAUCUGAAUCUUCUACUUAAAGAUGCAUUUAACAAGACAGAGCUCAUUUUUCUACAGACAGCUUUGCGAUCUUGGACGGGAGAUAUUGGUUACCUCGAAAGAAGAAAAGGCAGACUAUGGGCCCAAAUUAGGAAUUGGAAGACUCUUCAGGAUAAUAUGGAGACAUGCCAUGUAGAGCUUCUAGCGCUACAGUGAACUCUGGGUGUGAGAAGCUCACGACAGCACACAGUCAGUAUUCAGGGCAGUAACACACAUCUGAAUCACUGCAUGA